GCCCGGAUGGUCUAGAGGUAUGAUUCUCGCUUUGGGCUACCCAAUCCUGAAUGCGAGAGGCCCUGGGUUCGAAUCCCAGUUCGGGCC